rnacentral:rRNA from 1 species
AAUCAACGCUGGCGGCGUGCCUAACACAUGCAAGUCGAACGCGAAAGUGGAGCAAUCCAUGAGUAGAGUGGCAAACGGGUGAGUAACGCGUGGGCGACCUGCCUUCGAGUGGGGGAUAACAUUCCGAAAGGGAUGCUAAUACCGCAUAACAUCCUUCGUUUAGAUACGAGGUGAUCAAAGCCGGGAGCAAUUCUGGCGCUUAAAGAGGGGCCCGCGUCCGAUUAGCAGUUGGUGGGGUAACGGCCUACCAAGGCUUCGAUCGGUAUCCGGCCUGAGAGGGCGGACGGACACACUGGAACUGAGACACGGUCCAGACUCCUACGGGAGGCAGCAGUGGGGAAUUGUUCGCAAUGGGCGCAAGCCUGACGACGCAACGCCGCGUGGAGGAUGAAGACC